rnacentral:rRNA from 1 species
GAUAAACGCUGGCGGCGUGCCUAAAACAUGCAAGUCGAACGGACCCUUUCGGGGGUUAGUGGCGGACGGCUGAGUAACACGUGGGUGACCUGCCCUCGAGCGGGGGAUAACUGCCCGAAAGGGUGGCUAAUACCGCAGAUGUCGCGGAUUCGGUUUCGUGACUGAACUUACGGGGUUCGGGGAGGGGCCUGCGUCCGAUUAGCUAGCUGGUGGGGUGACGGCCUACCAGGGCGACGAUCGGUAGCUGGUCUGAGAGGAUGAUCAGCCAGACUGGGACUGCGAACGGCCCAGACUCCUACGGGAGGCAGCAGUUAGGAAUUUUGGGCAAUGGGCGGAAGCCUGACCCAGCAACGCCGCGUGGGUGAAGAAGGCCCUCGGGUCGUAAAGCCCUUUUCCCAGGGAAGAUGGUGACGGUACCUGGGGAAUCAGCCCCGGCUAACUACGUGCCAGCAGCCGCAGUAAUAC